UAGUAACGUGUGAAUUCUGAGUUGCAG
rnacentral:piRNA from 2 species